UUAGUACUCCCUCCAUCCCAAAAUUCUUGUCGUAGCUUUGUCUAGAUACGGAUGUAUCUAAUACUAAAAUGUGACUUGAUACAUUCGUAUUUAGAAAAAUCUAAGACAAGAAUUUUGGGUCGGAGGGAGUAUUUA
rfam:Triticum aestivum genome assembly, contig: Triticum_aestivum_CS42_TGACv1_scaffold_577916_7BL